rnacentral:rRNA from 1 species
UACAGAGGGUGCAAGCGUUGUUCGGAAUUAUUGGGCGUAAAGCGCGUGUAGGCGGCCUAGCAAGUCGGGCGUGAAAGCCCUCGGCUCAACCGAGGAAGUGCACCCGAAACUGCUGAGCUUGAGUGCCGGAGAGGAUGGCGGAAUUCCCCAAGUAGAGGUGAACUUCGUAGAUAUGGCGAGGGACACCGGUGGCGAAGGCGGCCAUCUGGACGGUAACUGACGCUGUGACGCGAAAGCGUGGGGAGCAAACAGG